AUUGAACGCUGGCGGCAGGCCUAACACAUGCAAGUCGAGCGGAUGAAGGGAGCUUGCUCCUGGAUUCAGCGGCGGACGGGUGAGUAAUGCCUAGGAAUCUGCCUGGUAGUGGGGGAUAACGUCCGGAAACGGGCGCUAAUACCGCAUACGUCCUGAGGGAGAAAGUGGGGGAUCUUCGGACCUCACGCUAUCAGGUGAGCCUAGGUCGGAUUAGCUAGUUGGUGGGGUAAAGGCCUACCAAGGCGACGAUCCGUAACUGGUCUGAGAGGAUGAUCAGUCACACUGGAACUGAGACACGGUCCAGACUCCUACGGGAGGCAGCAGUGGGGAAUAUUGGACAAUGGGCGAAAGCCUGAUCCAGCCAUGCCGCGUGUGUGAAGAAGGUCUUCGGAUUGUAAAGCACUUUAAGUUGGGAGGAAGGGCAGUAAGUUAAUACCUUGCUGUUUUGACGUUACCAACAGAAUAAGCACCGGCCAACUUCGUG
rnacentral:rRNA from 1 species